rnacentral:rRNA from 1 species
UACGUAGGGUGCAAGCGUUAAUCGGAAUUACUGGGCGUAAAGCGUGCGCAGGCGGCUUUGCAAGACAGAUGUGAAAUCCCCGGGCUCAACCUGGGAACUGCAUUUGUGACUGCAUGGCUAGAGUACGGUAGAGGGGGAUGGAAUUCCGCGUGUAGCAGUGAAAUGCGUAGAUAUGCGGAGGAACACCGAUGGCGAAGGCAAUCCCCUGGACCUGUACUGACGCUCAUGCACGAAAAGCGUGGGGAGCAAACAGG